UCGAAAUGGAAGUCCCUAGCUUCAAUUUUUUCUUCGGACCUUGUUUGUGAGCAAGGGAAAAAUCAAAGUAUGAGUUUUCACUCAUGCAACUGAAAAACUCUAUUUUAUGGGUUUAUAAAGCUUUGAUUUUUUGUAUUGAAAGAGAAAUUAGGACAAAAGUGUACAAGUUUCUCCAUCCUAAGUUCUUAUUUCUCCGUUUAUUACUACUAUUACCACAUUUUUCUGCUUUCAUCUCCUGAUGUUUACUUCUCUUUCUUAAUUCUCCCCGUCUUAUUCUAUUUUUGAAUAAAUUUGGAUUUGUGAUCAUAUUUGGUAGAUGGAUCUUUGAUGUUAUAAGCGGGUGCUUACUAUUGAAAUUGAGGAUCUGUUGUAUUGCGGUUAAUGUAACAUGCCUAAUAGUGCCCUAAAAAUAUUCUUUGUAAAAGGUACUUUUCUCUUCCAUUUUUUACUCUUUGGAUUUCUCAUGCCUCUCUUACAUCUCUUGAGAAUUUCAACAAAGUGCGUCAUAGUUUUCUUACUUUGAUACAAGUAUAUCGCAAAACCAACUCUAACUUUGUUUGUGCACAGUGGGUGUCGAGGCCAAAUUUCAGAUUCAUUGUCCGAGGAAAAAUGAAGAAUAAGGGGAAGCGAUUUUGGCUAAAGGGUACCAAUAGGACAAGCUUUGCGGAGAGUUUAAUGGGAAGACAUUUGAAUGGAUGAAAGUUCCUUUGCAUCAACUAUAGAAGAUAUAUUUAGUUUUUGAGCUCCUGUUAUUUAACUGGAACUACAACGAUGAUAAAAUUUCUUUUACAUAUGUUUUUAUGCAUUAUGCAAUGACAAUCAUAAUCAAAGCUCAAAUUUUCCUUUUCA